CAGCAAGUCGAAUUGUUAAACUACAGAUUUAGUUAUUAGUAUUAAAGGUGCAAGAACAUGAGUUUAUAGGUGGCUACUUACCCUCCCUGUUGUCCUUUUACCCUUCAUCUAUGAGAUGGACCUUUUCUGCGCUUUUUAUAAGUGGACCGCUGAAAAACAUUUAUUUUCGACGAUUUUUCCAACAACAACACAAUGAUUUGUCAAUAUAUCUAAAGGCUUUAUUCGCCAAAAAGAUCGUCUGUUGCGACAUAGAGUUAGUUGGUAGAUGUACCACCCGGAGAAAUUAGAAGUAGAAGUGAACUUUCUGCCAUAAUGGGAUCUUCGGUCAAGUAUACUCGUAUCUUUAUUGGAAAAUAUUUCAACCGCAUCCGAUAUUCUCUAGGUAGGACAAUCUUCUCAUAUGUUCUGAGUAAUGGUGAUGAUAGAAGUUUGGGACGAUUAACCUAUAGAAGCAAGAAAACCCAUAACACCUUACAUGGGAACUCUGGAAACACAAAACCUACAAAAAAACCUUUUACUAUCGCCUUGGAGCUUGCAGCUAAAUCAGUGAGGAAUAUUUUUUGCUAAGACUCAACGCGCCAACAGCAAAAUUUAAGAUCCAUCAGAAAUCAUCUUUUGGAUUAUCCUAAAAUAUCCUUAAGUAAGUAAUGUAAGCAGUCUAUAUUGAAGAAAGACAGUACUGUUAAAAAAGCCACAUCAAGGACUUACAAAAAUUCUGACCUGAGAACUGGAUGUUAUAAACAAGCAGACACAUUAAAUAAUUUUUCACUACUGCUUACGUUUGCAAGGAAACACUUCAACUUCUUGGAAAUCACAACGAUCUUCGAGGGCUACCUAUGUUUUUAAUGAGAUACUAUUAUUAAUUUUAUUUUUAUUUUAUUUUGUUCAAAAAUAGUUAUUUGCAAAUUUGUCAUUGUUUCCUAUUCACAUUGAAAACAUAGUCAAUUCUAAAUAAGAAAUGUCAGUUUAAAUAGACGAAUGUGAAGCAGAUUUAUUGUUGUCAUUUCUCUGUUGCUUAUGCGUUGAUACACAACAAUAUCAGUAAAUCUGCUUAUAAUUAGUUGUGCAAUUUUUUGUCGGCUGAAAAAAUAUACAAAAAAAAAAACAAAAUGAAAAAGUAAAUAAAAAAAUGGGGAAAAAAUAAAAAUAAAACAAAGCAGAAAUGAAAAAUACAAAAAAUAACAAAAAAAAGAAAAAAAAAUACAAAAAAUUAAAAAUAUAAAAAAACAAAAAAUAUAAUACAAAAAAUGUCGAAAUAACUAUACGAAAAAAUGCAACAAAAUGUAAGACAGCUUCUAUAAACACUUAAUUUUUGACACACGUUUUUACAAAAUUGGAAAAUCAUUUAUAAGAUCAUUUUUCUGAGGUUUGUAUAAGCUGCCUUAUUUAUUUUACUCAAAUAAGUGAAAGAUGUAAUGAAAUUAGGAAAACGUUUUUGAUUUUGCAUUCGGUUCACAAUUCACAAUAAAUUGACAUCCUGUUUUCCAAAUUUCAAAUAAUAAGUGCUAUGUUCUUCUACCGGUAAUGUAAUACUGCUUAUUACGCCAAUGAGCGUAUUUUUGUAAACGCUUUACUUUCUGUGACUUCAAAAAUAAUUGCUCUCCGGUCUUAUAAGAAAAAAUAAUCAAAUUGUCCGGUUUUUGGAAAUCGUGUUUGGUCUAAAAAUCGCUGACAGUAACUAAGUGACUAAGCUUUAUAUUUUGUUGUAUUUGCGUUCAUUGUUUAUAUUAAUGUGUACAUAAUUGUUAACGAAGUACGGAAACAUUUCAUUAAUUUUUCAAAAUUUAUUCUAUAUUUUACAUUUUUGUUACUUUAUAAGAUGGAAAUUAUUUACAAUCAUUUAACAAUUCACAAUUGGUUUUCGUAUUUCAGUUCGAUGGUUUCCUUUUUUAUUGUAAUAAGUUCCAUUUUGUGAGAUACUGUUUUAAAUUUGUAUGAUACAUUAGUUUAGUUUCAAUAAAUAUGAAAUAUUGUGUUUUAAAAAAGACUGGAGAAUGUUGAAUUGUCAGAUUUUUGGAAAUUUGAUUGGACUAAAAAUCAAAUGACAAAUUCAUAUAUAUUUAGAUUAAGUUGUAUUAAAUGUUUUGUUAUAUUGGAUUUGUAAGAAAGCUAAAUUGUACUACAUUUAUAAAGAUCAACCAAAUAUGAAAAACAAUAUUUUAAUGGUCGGUUUAUGGAAACGUUAUUAAUUUAGUCCGCAAUUAAAUGCAUCACGUGGUCAAAUUGAACCAAUUUCAUUGAUCCAUUCGUGUUCUUAACUUUUAACAACGUGUUCAAUUUUAAAAACAGCUUUCUUUAAACCGGCUCUAAAAUUAAAUAAGUUAAUUUGAAACUUACUAAAAUAGAAAAUUUUACGUUUUUGACGUUUUUCAUUUUUCGUUGAUUACAAAAAAAAUCUGUCUGGUUAAACUACCCAAAUUUGUAAAAUAGAUUUUGGAACUAAUAAGGUAUGUUGAAGUGUUUCAUUUGACCCUACUUCUUUAAUCAAGUCAUCUAGAAUUUAUUGCUUAAGCUAAAAUCGACACUUGAUCGU